GAGAGUGGCGAACGGGUGAGUAAUGCGUGACCGACCUGCCCCAUGCUCCGGAAUAGCUCCUGGAAACGGGUGGUAAUGCCGGAUGUUCCACAUGAUCGCAUGUGAUUGUGGGAAAGAUUCUAUCGGCGUGGGAUGGGGUCGCGUCCUAUCAGCUUGUUGGUGAGGUAACGGCUCACCAAGGCUUCGACGGGUAGCCGGCCUGAGAGGGCGACCGGCCACAUUGGGACUGAGAUACGGCCCAGACUCC
rnacentral:rRNA from 1 species